UAACACUUUGCAUCCUGAGCACGACAGAAAGGAAUACGCACGGCAUCGUAAAAAGUCUGCUCAUACAAGAUGCUCCUCGUUACUUGUUUCGUGAGUGAAGGGGUCGGUUGCUAUCUUUGGUUAUCUAGCUGUAUGAGUGUUUCUCCUCCGUCAUAAAGCUAGAUAACCGAAAGUAGGAGCGGUCUCCUGUACUGCGCACUGCUCCUGCACUAGAGCAUGAGCAGGAAAAAUACUGCGUGAAGAAGUAUCUUGGGGAAGCUCCUUCCAGACCGCAGCAUUUACUUGAGAGACCGGACCAACAUACACCAGCACAACACCAUGUGCCUCCUCCCUUCAUCAACGGAAGCUUUCGGUGCCAUGUGUGCCCCCGGAGUAGAGGGCGGGAGAAAAGAAAAAUUAUGUGCAAGAGGCUACAGUUCGUGUGCCAGUGGAGACAAAGAGGCUGCCAGUCGCUACGAUCCCCACAGAUGCUGAAGAUUGGAUCUCUGAAUGAGGGGCUGUGCUUUGAGGAAGCCAUCUUGAUGGAAAGGCUGGCUGCCUGCUUCCUAAAAUGGCUGUGUUGGCAUGAGGGACUCUGUUGAGGACAACAUCAAGCCAAAUCAGCGAGUACAUUCUAUUUCCUGGGCCAUUUUCAUAUAGAUCAGACACUCUGGUUCCUGAUAUCAUACAUUUACAGCAUUUGGCAGACACCCGUAUCCAGAGCAACUUACAUUUAUUGCUCAUUUAUACAACUUUGUGGGUUAAGGGCCUUGCUCAAGGGCCCAGCAGCAGGAGCUUCAAGGCCAAUCAGUAUUCCAAGGCCUUAACCGCUGAGCUUCCACUUACUUACAUAACAUAGAUAAUAUAGUAUCUAUAUCUAAAACAUAUCCAAUUACUGUUUCUGGUUAUCUUGUAGUGGACAUUCAAUGCAAUUAGUACAGCAUAUGUUGUUAGAAACUGAUGUAAAAAAAAAAAAAAAGCUUUUUUUGCUUCUCGAAUAAACAAUAUGUAUAAAACUCAACAGUUUUCUAACCAGCAAAGGGCAAAGAAUAUAUGUAUGUAUUUAAAGUCAUUAAGCCUUUAAUGAUCAUUUUAGCAGAAAAUUUGAAAUUCAGAAUGCUGGCUAAUAAAUAUAUGCCUUACCGUGUGAACUGUUUACAGUAAAAAUGUAGUUUACUACUGACAUUUAAUCAACAAUUAGUUAUAUAGUAUAUAGUUUAUGAACUAUUUUAACUGUGCCUUCAGCCCCUUUGUCUCUCUGUUAAAUGAAUUGUAUUUCUUUUCAUGAUGAAAAUAUAUCUAUUAAAACUUGUGAUUAAGUUUUACUUAAAAUUUCUGUUGAA